UACGUAGGGGGCAAGCGUUGUCCGGAAUCAUUGGGCGUAAAGAGCGCGUAGGCGGCCCAGUAAGUCCGCUCUGAAAGUCAGGGGCUCAACCCCUGGAUGCGGGUGGAUACUGCUGGGCUAGAGUCCGGAAGAGGUGAGUGGAAUUCCUGGUGUAGCGGUGAAAUGCGCAGAUAUCAGGAGGAACACCGAUGGCGAAGGCAGCUCACUGGGACGGUACUGACACUGAGGCGCGAAAGCGUGGGGAGCGAACAGG
rnacentral:rRNA from 1 species